rnacentral:tRNA from 1 species
UCCUUCGUGGUGUAGUGGUCAGCACGCUCGACGCGUAACCGAGAGUUACGUGGUUCGAUUCCCGGCGAAGGCG